UAGGGAAUCUUCGGCAAUGGGGGGAACCCUGACCGAGCAACGCCGCGUGAGUGAAGAAGGUUUUCGGAUCGUAAAGCUCUGUUGUAAGAGAAGAACGUGUGAGAGAGUGGAAAGUUCUCACAGUGACGGUAACUUACCAGAAAGGGACGGCUAACUACGUGCCAGCAGCCGCGGUAAUACGUAGGUCCCGAGCGUUGUCCGGAUUUAUUGGGCGUAAAGCGAGCGCAGGUGGUUGUAUAAGUCUGAAGUAAAAGGCAGUGGCUUAACCAUUGUGUGCUUUGGAAACUGUACAACUUGAGUGCAGAAGGGGAGAGUGGAAUUCCAUGUGUAGCGGUGAAAUGCGUAGAUAUAUGGAGGAACACCGGUGGCGAAAGCGGCUCUCUGGUCUGUAACUGACACUGAGGCUCGAAAGCGUGGGGAGCAAACAG
rnacentral:rRNA from 1 species